rnacentral:misc_RNA from 1 species
GGAAGUGAUACAGAAAGAGGGCAUAGUUGUUUUGCGGAACAAUCGCAUGGUAACAUUAGUUGUUGGUUAUCAACUCACAAUAUCGGUUGUCUUAAGGAAUGGUUUCUUAUGGGAUAGUCAAAAGAACCUUGAUGAUGUUACAUUAGACGUCGCGCUGUGGACUGUCCAUGGAUACAUGGCUUACUACUGGAAAAAUAAUCCUAGAACAAAUCUAGCCCGUGUCGAGGACAUGUGGACUGAUUCUAACGGGAAAAAAAAGCAAUCUGCUAAGCCUCGCUACAUGAUGUUUACUAUGACCAGCUGCUUGCUUUUCUUUAUUGUUUUCAGUCUCCGGCUCAGCUGAUGAUUUGAUCCUGGCGUUGAGGACGACCUAGAGAGCCUUCGGAACAUGGAGCUAAUCUUCGA